rnacentral:lncRNA from 1 species
CACGCCUUAGCCCACUGUAUUGAAACCGUGAGCUCUCUCCUCUUCAAUGAUCCUCAAAUAGUCCCAGAUCCUUGAAUGAACCUUAACCCCCAAAUUGAUUUUCCCCCACAAUCAAAGGACAACAAAGCUUGAUUUUCGAAGCCGUUCAUAUGGAGAUACCACGUGGAGGUAAUACUUGGGAACAUUUUUUUUUCUUUUCUUAAAUUUUUAGUUUUUUGCGUUCGUGUGAUUUGAAGUGCACCUAAUGGAAAUGCUAUCCAAUCCAGGCAGUUUGAGGAUUGAAGGUUGUACAUUGUUAGUGCUUUAGAGGAUUCGUUAUUAGUGGCUGACAGUAUGCUCAUAAUUUCACAAAUCUAUUCCCUCGAAUCAGAGAGUAGAACAUUUUCAUAGAAGCAACAGGUACAAUCAAAUGAAAUAUUAUUUUCCAAGGCAUACAAAUCACACAAGGCAGAAUUAAAUUUUAGAUGGUUUCGAUAUGCAUUAAGUUUAGAUGCUGCUAGAUUACUGCAGAAUAUAGAGAUGGAACAUACGCCAAUUCCUUUAUCCUGAAUACUAAUUUAACACAAGAAAAAAAUUCUCAAACAUCAUUAUAUCUAAUUAUAUUGUCCAUUAAAUGUCAAAAUAGUCUCACAAUAAACUAAAGAUAGUCCUGGAUGACAUACAGGGACGGACCAAGGAUUAUGAUCCAAUGUGG